GAAAACAAUCGGAUCGAAAUUGAGAGGCUAGACAGGGAAAGGCAGACUGACUUUGUAGACAUGCUGAAAGGAUUUGUUACUAGUCAGGUGGCGUAUAAUGAGAAAAUUGGACAUGAAUGGGCUAAGGUGGGGGAAGAAACCAGUAGAUAUGCAAAAGAGAGCACGUAGAAACAGCUAUUUUACUGUUUAUUGGGAUCUUUAUAUAUCUUUUUCUUCCCAUUUCGGAUUAAAAAAGGGUGCUGGAUCCCUAUGAAAAAAAUGGCAAUAGAAAACUGGACUGGAAUUUUAUUUCUCUUUCAUUCCUCUCUUUUUCAUUUUUGGUGCGUUUUUAACUUAUAAUUUCGUCAACAGUCAUUCUUCUCCUGUUAUUGAAAAGAUUCUGGUACCAGUUACUUGAAAUUUUACUAUAAAUGGAUCCUUGAACAUCAA